rnacentral:rRNA from 1 species
CAGCAGCCACGGGAAUACGAAGGGUGCAAGCGUUAAUCGGAAUUACUGGGCGUAAAGCGUGCGUAGGCGGUGAGUUAAGUCUGCUGUGAAAUCCCCGGGCUCAACCUGGGAAUGGCAGUGGAUACUGGCAAGCUAGAGUGUGUCAGAGGAUGGUGGAAUUCCCGGUGUAGCGGUGAAAUGCGUAGAGAUCGGGAGGAACACCAGUGGCGAAGGCGGCCAACUGGUCCGACACUGACGCUGAGGUGCGAAAGCGUGGGGAGCAAACAGGAUUAGAUACCCCAGUAGUCCCUGUCUCUUAUAC